GCAAACUUGGUCAUUUAGAGGAAGUAAAAGUCGUAACAAGGUCUCCGUUGGUGAACCAGCGGAGGGAUCAUUACUGAGUUGCAAAACUCCAAACCCAUGUGAACAUACCGUGUUGCCUCGGCGGAGAUCGCAAUCCAGGUGGGUGCCUACCCGGCACCUACCCUGGAGAGACCUACCCGGUACCUACCCGGUACCUACCCUGUAGCGCCUGCGGACCGCCGAAGGAAUACUUUUAAACUCUUGUUUCUGUGUGGCACGUCUGAGUUUGGUAUAUCUAAAUAAGUCAAAACUUUCAACAACGGAUCUCUUGGUUCUGGCAUCGAUGAAGAACGCAGC
rnacentral:misc_RNA from 1 species